rnacentral:rRNA from 1 species
UACGGAGGGUGCAAGCGUUAUCCGGAUUCACUGGGUUUAAAGGGUGCGUAGGAGGGUUGGUAAGUCAGUGGUGAAAUCUCCGAGCUUAACUUGGAACUGCCGUUGAUACUAUCAAUCUUGAAUAUCGUGGAGGUGAGCGGAAUAUGUCAUGUAGCGGUGAAAUGCUUAGAUAUGACAUAGAACACCAAUUGCGAAGGCAGCUCGCUACACGAAUAUUGACUCUGAGGCACGAAAGACGUGGGGAUCAAACAGG